rnacentral:rRNA from 1 species
UACGAAGGGGGCUAGCGUUGCUCGGAAUCACUGGGCGUAAAGGGUGCGUAGGCGGGUCUUUUAAGUCAGGGGUGAAAUCCUGGAGCUCAACUCCAGAACUGCCUUUGAUACUGAAGAUCUUGAGUUCGGGAGAGGUGAGUGGAACUGCGAGUGUAGAGGUGAAAUUCGUAGAUAUUCGGAAGAACACCAGUGGCGAAGGCGACUCACUGGACAUGUAUUGACGCUGAGGUACGAAAGCGUGGGGAGCAAACAGG